GAUGAAGAACGCAGCGAAAUGCGAUACUUGGUGUGAAUUGCAGAAUCCCGUGAACCAUCGAGUCUUUGAACGCAAGUUGCGCCCGAAGCCACUAGGCCGAGGGCACGCCUGCCUGGGCGUCACACGCCGUUGCCCCCCCAUCUACUCCUUCGGGAUUGCGGGGGGGCGGAUGAUGGCCUCCUGUGCGCCUAGCCGCGCGGUUGGCAUAAAUACCAAGUCCUCGGCGACGCACGCCACGACAAUCGGUGGUUGCGAAACCUCGGUUGCCCGUCGUGUGCGUUCGUCGCGCAUCGAGGGCUCGAAAAAAUGCUCGGCUCCGGCUGGGCUUUCAACGCGACCCCAGGUCAGGCGGGGUUACCCGCUGAAUUUAAGCAUAUCAAAAGCGGAGGA
rnacentral:misc_RNA from 1 species